rnacentral:rRNA from 1 species
GACGAACGCUGGCGGCGUGCCUAAUACAUGCAAGUCGAGCGAAUCAAUGGGAGCUUGCUCCCUGAGAUUAGCGGCGGACGGGUGAGUAACGCGUGGGUAACCUGCCUGUAAGACUGGGAUAACUUCGGGAAACCGGAGCUAAUACCGGAUACGUUCUUUUUUCGCAUGAGGAGAGAUGGAAAGAUGGUUCUGCUAUCACUUACAGAUGGACCCGCGGCGCAUUAGCUAGUUGGUGAGGUAACGGCUCACCAAGGCGACGAUGCGUAGCCGACCUGGGAGGGUGAUCGGCAAGACUGGGACUGAGACACGGCCCAGCCUCCUACGGGAGGCAGCAGUAGUGAAUCUUCCGCAAUUGACGAAAGUCUGACGGAGCAACGCCGCGUGAGCGAGGAAGGCCUUCGGGUCGUAAAGCUCUGUUGUUAGGCAAGAACAAGUACGAGAGUAACUGCUCGUACCUUGACGGUACCUAACCAGAAAGCCACGGCUAACUACGUGCCAGCCGCCGCGGUAA